rnacentral:pre_miRNA from 1 species
GGGUUUGUCAAAGGGUUUCUUACAGAGUUUAUUGGCAUUCUGUCCACCUCCCCUACUACGUACGUACGUACUGAAAUCUAUCAAUCUCAACUAAGGAGGCCAGGUGAGGUGAGGUGGGCAUACUGCCAACAGAACUCUGUUGGUCUCACUUUGUAAAACCU